rnacentral:tRNA from 1 species
AAAAGUGUAGUAUAAUUUACAUCUCAGUUACAUUGAGAAGAUCCAUGUGGCGCUUUUAC